CCUACGGGGGGCAGCAGUGGGGGAUAUUGCACAAUGGGGGAAACCCUGAUGCAGCGACGCCGCGUGGGCGAAGAAGUAUUUCGGUAUGUAAAGCCCUAUCAGCAGGGAAGAAAAAAUGACGGUACCUGAGUAAGAAGCACCGGCUAAAUACGUGCCAGCAGCCGCGGUCAUACGUAUGGUGCAAGCGUUAUCCGGAUUUACUGGGUGUAAAGGGAGCGCAGGCGGCACGGCAAGCCUGAUGUGAAAGCCCGGGGCCCAACCGCGGGACUGCAUUGGGAACUGGCGGGCUGGAGUGCCGGAGAGGUAGGCGGAAUUCCGAGUGUAGCGGUGAAAUGCGUAGAUAUUAGGAGGAACACCAGUGGCGAAGGCGGCCUACUGGACGGUGACUGACGCUGAGGCUCGAAAGCGUGGGGAGCAAACAGGAUUAGAUACCCCUGUAGUC
rnacentral:rRNA from 1 species